GCCCAAGUGGUGUAGUGGUUUAAGCAUUGGACAAAGACUCUGGAGACCAGGGUUCGAAUCCUUGCUCUGUUG